rnacentral:misc_RNA from 1 species
UAACGUUGAAAGUGACAACGAUGAUAAUAACGAAGAUGAUGAUAACAGGGAUGAAAGUAAAAGCGAUAAUGUAGGCGAUCGAUGACUACAAUGAACAUGAGAAUGAUGAUGAUGAUGAUGAUGAUGAUGAUGAUGACGACGCUGAUGAUAAGGACGAUGACGACAGCAGAUGUGGCGAAUAAUAAUGAUGAUGACUCUAGUUAUGGCAGUGUUUACGAUUAGGUGAUGAUGACGAUUAUGAUGAUAUGAGGGGUGGAGCCAGCCAUACCAGUAGAUCCGACACAAUAUUGAUAUUAAUAAGAUCCGUAUUUUCCUCCUCUGUUCCCGAACUCCGGCAGUGUUACAACACAACACUGCCGCUGCUACCUUCUUCCCAUCACUAGUUACAUACUCUGCUAGAAUGUUGACACAUCAUCAUACCUCACAGUUUCGCUCCACACCACAACAAUAUACAACUAUUAAUAAGUUGGACUAAAAUGUAGGAAUACUCUCCGCGAACAUAGCCGCUGUUAUCUCUGCCGAAGGCGUUGACAGUUUGCGUUACAGAACAACCACGCCACAUUAAAGCUCGCAAAAAACCCACACCACUGCUCGUAACAAAACACACACGCACGCACACACACACGCACAACACACACACACACACACACACACGCACACACGCUCACGCACACGCACACCACUUAGCAUCACAUUAUAAAACACCAAAUUUCACAUCGCAACUACAUAACAAUUAAUAAGUUAAACUGAAACCAAAGGAGUACUACAAUAAAAGAUUGCAGCUAUAUCGUCCUUCCAUACACGAGCGGGAACAGUGACACCGCGCAUAACUACACAACAUUUGUUAAGUUCUUCUAAAAACUAUAGGAGUACUGCAACACGACUGUUAUAUUCAAUUUUUUUUUCUGUAACGCUCUUCUCCAAGUACUGGCGCAGAAAUGUUGACAAACCGUUAUACCACACCGUAACUGGCGUACAUAUCUUCCUAUCAUCUUAAAACAAUGAAUGAACUUAAACAGUGCUUCAAAGAUCAAUAACUUCAGGAUAAAAUCAUAAGAGCACCAUUAUUUUAUUGUCAACUCGAAAUUCUGUUAUCAAUCAGGAGCAUUCUUAAUUGUAUCAUACUUUGCUGCUAAACAUGACUAACACAACUACUGCAAGUGUUUGGGAAGCGGCAACCGACAAUGUUACACUGAAUUGUGAAGACGAUUACAUUCAUAGGAGUAUCUUGAUGGAAUAUGUUCCUGAAAGUAUUUAUGUCGACAGAUACACUACUCCAUUUCUUUAUAUCAUCGGCUUCCCAGGAAAUAUUCUGUCAUUCAUCGUCUGGAUACAAAGGCGCAUGCGUCAUUCAUCUGGAUAUUACUUAGCUGCAAUUGCCCUUGCUGAUCUGUUUUUCUUAGCUUUGCAAAUCGUGCAUGAAGCACAAAGUGCUUGGUUCUUAACUGUCUUAGACUAUCCCAUCAUAUGUGGGGGCUACCCUGUAUUAUUUAUGACUUGCCAAUAUUUACCACCACUGUUCGUGUUAGGUUUCACCGUUGAGAGAUAUAUAUCAGUCUGUCACCCGUUCAAACGUGAACGAUACUGUACCACAAGACGAGCUAAAAUUGUGAUCCUUGCGCUGAUCAUACUUUCAUUCAGUCUGUCUUCUAUGCAAGGAUACUUUUGGCAUUAUGACUCUGCAUGUAAAUCCUGCUCACCUAGGGAGUGGGCAAUUAAUACAUCAUUCUGGACUAUAUGGACUUGGAUAGUUGAAUUUUUGAUAUUUAUGCUUGUCCCAGGUUUGGUUUUGAUCUUCAAUAUACUGGUUAUAUUGGAAGUGCGAAGAAUGUCGAAGAUAGAACUUCACGGUAACGAGCAGCGAACGUCUGCAACAACUCUUAUGCUUUUGACUGUGUCAUUCUAUCUUAUAUUCACAGUUCUACCCGUUACCGUAGCAACCUCUCUUUACACAACGUUUCCGUAUGGUAAACUGGGAAUGUCCGAAGAGGAAACCCGCGCUGAUCCAAAAUGGCAAAGAUUCUUUACAUAUGUUUUUAUUAAAGCUAUUGUCAACGAGAUUGGACUAACACACUUCGUAUUUAACUUUUUCAUAUAUUUGAUCACAGGUCGACUGUUUCGCAAGGAACUGGAGAAACUGAUAACAAGCAGUAUAAUCUGCACGAAAUGGAAUGCUUAUAGGCAAAGAGAUUUCAGUACGAGUGGGGAUUCCACUUGGACUUCUAGAUAUAGUAAAAAGGAUUCACUUGGCAUGAAGCAGGGUGUAAACGGGCACACUUCAUUGUUAGUUAACUGCAACAAUACGACAACUACUACUACUACAAACAAUAAGCAAGAUCACACCGAAACUGUUGUGAAAAGUUGAAAACAAGGCGUACCAACUGAGUCUUCAUGAUUAGUAAAGAAAUCAUAUUACCAUCGACGUGAAACACCUACAAACCAUUAAGAUGAGCUGAGACAGAAACUUUCUCCAAUAGUAAUUGCUCCCUUUAAUGUUUACUGUGAAGAAGUACAAUUGUAUAACUGAUAACUACUGUGAACAAGGAGCAACCUACAAUAUAAAAGCCCAACCAAUCCAAAUUUGACUCUACUGUAGCUGAGGAUAUGGCGGAUAUUCAUAACCAAAACACAUUGCGUAAUCUACAAAAAAGCAUAUGUAUAUGCUUGUAUAUUUAGCUAAUAUAUAUAUAUAUACAUAAACAUACAUAC